AAGCGAGCAGAUCAACGGGAGAAAGGACAGCCCACCUCUUCUUAUAUGGUUCCUCCCGCCAGUGAACUCCAGCAACCAAUCAAAACGCGGAACCAGAUAAGAGACGGCUUCUGAUUGGCUAAGUGGAUCCCGGCCAGAUAUGAAGAAGAAAUGGAUCUCAUUUUUGAAGGACUUUAGGUCAAGAAAGAUGAUACUUCUCUGAAUCCAGAAACUGAAUUGUUGGAGAAGACACCAUGAAGAAGCCUCCAGACCACAAGCUGCACAAGAAGAUCAAGAAUGAACUUUGGGUGUAGUUGAUUGAACAUUUUAUUUGUAUGUAUACUUUCAUGCCAAAGGGGACUGCCCCCUAACUGUUUUUUUGUCAAUGUGUCCAGCAAUUAUUGUUUUUGUUCUUUUUUUCCCUUAUCUUCAAAUUAUUGUAAUCUUUAAAUUGAUUAUGUUUUCACGAUCCUUUGGGGAAGUCCUACUUCCCAAAGGAUCACACGGUGAAAUGUAAAAAUGGAGAUUUGAACCCCAGACUUCAAUCCCCAGAAGUCUUUGGCACUGGGGAUUAACCCCGUGGGGUGCACAUAAAAGCAAAUAAGAAAGGCCUUGCCCUCAAGGAAUUCACAUUCUAAUUCUAACAUUCCAUUCUUAUAUUCUAACAAUAGAUUAAAGGAUUCUAGAAAGAGUAAAAGAAAGCCUAAAGUGACAGAAAACAAAAGGAUAAAAAAGGAAAAAGGCCAGAAUCCCAGGUAAAUAAGAAAAACUUAUCUAUAUAAACUGGAAGGAGUCAAGAAUCCACUUUGAGUUUCAAGUGGGUUAGGUGGUCUGAGAAUAAGGACAUGGUAGAAAGACUGCAGGACAGUAUAUAGUUGCUUAGUUUUCUAAAAUUGAGAUUUGAACUCUGGGCUUCAAUCCCCAGAAGUCCUUGCUCCACUUCUCCAGAAUGCUUUGAAUUCUCACGUGGGCUGAGAUCAAGAAGGCAUUUAACCUGAUUCAAGAGCUCUAGGUCUUUUUGGACUUCCGUUUUGGGGCAGACGUGGCUCUUUCCAUAAUGUAGGUGAGGUCUUGUCUAGGCCUCCCUGGCCUAGGCACAUUUUCCUUAUCCUGUAUUUUCUUUUAAUCCUUAACCUUUAAUAAACCUUAUAAAAUAUAAUACUCCUUGCAGAAAAAAACUAAUUUCUACCUGUCUCAGUCUCCCCUAAAUUUUAACUGUUACAGUUUCUGACUAGACAAAGCAAAAAAAAAAUUCCUAUGAAGUGAAGGUGGAUGGAAGAUGUUUGCUCCAAGAAAGUUUAUAUGGAAAAAAGCAUUUAUACUUAGCUAUGUAGAUAAAUGAGUUCUACUUUCUAAUAUUGUACAUAUUAUUUGGUUAUUAAGAUUUUUUUCCUUUUAAAAUUUCCUUUCCUUGCAAUUCAAAACAAUUCUGAGGUCUCACACCUAGCAGAUUGGCUAACAUGACUGCAAAGGAAAAUAAUAAAAGUUGGAGGGCAUGUGGCAAAACUGGGACAUUGCAUUGCUGGUGGAGUUGUGAAUUGAUCCGACCAUUCUGGAGGGCAAUUUGGAGCUAUGCUCAAAGGGCUUUAAAAGACGGUCUGCCUUUUUAUCCAGCCAUACAACUGCUCAGUAAAUACCCCAAAGAGAUAAUAAGGCAAAAGACUUGUACAAGAAUAUUUAUAGCUACACUCUUUGUGGUGGCAAAAAAAUGGAAAAUGAGGGGAUGCCCUUCGAUUGGGGAAUGGCUGAACAAAUUGUGGUAUAUGUUGGUGAUGGAAUACUAUUGUGCUAAAAAAUAAUGAACUGGAGGAAUUCCAAGUGAACUGGAACAACUCCAGGAAUUGAUGCAGAGUGAAAGGAGCAGAACCAAGAGAACCUUAUACACAGAGAUCGAUACACUGUGGCAUACAGCAAUGUCAAUGAUCCUGGACAAUUCUAAGGGACCUAUGAAAAAGAACACUAUCCACAUCCAUAGAAAGAACUGUGGGAGUAGAAACACAGAAGAAAAACAAUUGCUUGAUCAUAUGGGUUGAUGGGGGUAUGAUUGGGGAUGUAGACUCUAAAUGAACAUCCUAAUGUAAAUAUUAAUAAUAUGGAAAUAGGUCUUGAUCAAUGACACAUGUAAAACCCAGUGGAACUGCUCGUUGGCUAUGGAAGGGGGUGAGAGAAGGGGAGGGAAAGAACAUGAAUCAUGUAACCAUGGAAAAAUAUUCUAAAUCAAUU